rnacentral:lncRNA from 1 species
UUUGUAUGGGAUUUGACUCCAACUCAUGUCUCAUUAGCUCAAAGUGUUCUCAAUUGAUUUCAAUCCUAUUUCAAUGGUACUUUGCAUCUACAAAAAUAUUCUUAAGAAAAUUUGAAAGAUAUUAGUAUAUUUUUAUGCUUUAAUAUUUAGUCAUCGUCAAAAUUAUUUUUGAGAUCAAUAGUAAAAGAUGGAAUAGAAAGAGCAACAUGUAAUGGUUGUAAGUAUGAGUAUAAAGUUGGUCCAAAACCUGGUAGUUCAAACUAUGAAACUUCACAUUUGC